UUUGUGGAUGUAAUACUUCAAC
rnacentral:siRNA from 1 species